rnacentral:rRNA from 1 species
GACGAACGCUGGCGGCGUGCUUAACACAUGCAAGUCGAACGGAAAGGCCCUGCUUUUGUGGGGUGCUCGAGUGGCGAACGGGUGAGUAACACGUGAGUAACCUGCCCUUGACUUUGGGAUAACUUCAGGAAACUGGGGCUAAUACCGGAUAGGAGCUCCUGCUGCAUGGUGGGGGUUGGAAAGUUUCGGCGGUUGGGGAUGGACUCGCGGCUUAUCAGCUUGUUGGUUGGGUAGUGGCUUACCAAGGCUUUGACGGGUAGCCGGCCUGCGAGGGUGACCGGCCACAUUGGGACUGAGAUACGGCCCAGACUCCUACGGGAGGCAGCAGUGGGGAAUAGUGCACAAUGGGCGGAAGCCUGAUGCAGCAACGCCGCGUGCGGGAUGACGGCCUUCGGGUUGUAAACCGCUUUCGCCUGUGACGAAGCGUGAGUGACGGUAAUGGGUAAAGAAGCACCGGCUAACUACGUG